rnacentral:tRNA from 1 species
AUUUAAAUAAUUUAAAAUAAAAUAUUGAUUUGUGGGAUCAAAUAUAUGAUAAAAUUCAUUUUAAAUA